GCCGGGCGACGGUUGUCCCGGUUUAAGCGUGUAGGCUGGUUUUCCAGGCAAAUCCGGAAAAUCAAGGCUGAGGCGUGAUGACGAGGCACUACGGUGCUGAAGCAACAAAUGCCCUGCUUCCAGGAAAAGCCUCUAAGCAUCAGGUAACAUCAAAUCGUACCCCAAACCGACACAGGUGGUCAGGUAGAGAAUACCAAGGCGCUUGAGAGAACUCGGGUGAAGGAACUAGGCAAAAUGGUGCCGUAACUUCGGGAGAAGGCACGCUGAUAUGUAGGUGAAGUCCCUCGCGGAUGGAGCUGAAAUCAGUCGAAGAUACCAGCUGGCUGCAACUGUUUAUUAAAAACACAGCACUGUGCAAACACGAAAGUGGACGUAUACGGUGUGACGCCUGCCCGGUGC
rnacentral:rRNA from 1 species